UCCCUGAUAGCUUAGUUGGUAAAGAGUCCGCCUGCAAAGCAGGAGACCCUGGGUUGAGUCCUGGGUUGGGGAG
rnacentral:tRNA from 1 species